AGAGACAUCCAGAAAGUCAUGGUUCUUUGGUAGCAAAUUUUGCAUAGAGAAUAGACCAAUCUCAUGUCUGGAUGGAGAGUAGAGCACAGGACAAGUCAAUGAAAGAUGCAAAUUAAUGUCAGGAUAGUAAAGUAAUGCACUUUAAAAACAACACCUUUAGAUGUUAAGGUCACAAUUUUGUCACGUUUUCUUUUUCAACUUGUAUUACACCCAAGGCUUUCUGUUAGUCUAUUCGCUGCAGUUUGUCAGUUUCCUUUCUAUAACAGCACAAAGUAAGAUAAAUGUUUUUUUCCUGAAGUGCCUUCAAAGCCUUGUGUGUAAUUCAGCUAAAUUGUAUGGUUGGUGUGUGUGUGUGUGUGUGAAUAGUCAAGAAGAGCAGCUGAAGACUUCUGCAGGGGUAAGACUGCUUCUACAAUUUCAUAUAUCUGUGCAGAAAUGUAACUAAUGUUCAUUUGUUGAUGUAGAGCUACUCCAAAUGCGGUGUUAGCCACUAAAUGAAAGGCUAUUGUUGAUGAUUAUGUUGAUGCUUAAGCAAGACAAAAAUCCCAUAAUGUUUUUCCCUUAUAUACCGUGUGACCUGCUUUCCUCCCAGGCCUAACUUAAAAGGCUUGUAGGGGCAGCGAAGGCCUGAGUCCGUAGUUCAACACCUGUAAGUCACAAACAACUAGUUUAACCAAAGACUGAUGCCUGUUUCUUGUUUUUGUUUUUUUUUUGUUUUUUUUGUUUUCCUUUUUUUCCUGAAAGAAGGGAUCUUAAGGAAGAAAAAGUAUUUUUCAUUUGCUGCAUUUUGUUGUUACGAAUGCCAAAAGUCAAAUGUGUUCCACAGAUCCUGCUAUUUGAGUGGUUUCCAGUUACAUUCUUGCUAAAAUCUAGUUUUAUCCUCACCUUUUGAAGCAACAGAGCACACCAUGUUGCUUUAGAUGCAGAAAGUCUCUCUGUGAGUGGGAGUCUUCUGUGCCAUCAGAUAGGAUUAUGGCUUCAUAGUUAUUAGGGCAUGUUUCUUGGAAACCUCUCAAACUCUGGAAACCACUUGAUCUGUGUACAUAUGAGAGCUUACAGCAGAUUCCUCCUGGAUGUCAAGUGGCAAAUCCUGAGCCUGUGUGUGUUUUGCUCUGCAGAAACUCGAAGAGGAGAAAGACAAGCGGGAGAAGGAGCGGCUGGAGUUCGAGCGCGAAAGGAAGGAGCGAGAAAAAGAGCGAGAGCGGGAAAGAGAGCGGCGGGAUCGCGAAAGGGAGAAGGAGCGCGAGAGAGAAAGGAAGAGGGAACGGGAACAGGAGAGGGAGAGAGACCGCGACAAAGAGCGUGACCGCAGGAACAGGGAGAUAGAACGAGAGCGAGACUGGGACAGAGACCGCAGCCGUGACCGGAGCGCCGAGCGCAGCCGAUCAAGGGAAUUGAGCCGAGACAGAGAGAGGGAGAGAGAAAGAGAACGGGAGAGGGACAAGAAGCGUGACCAAGAAGAUGAAGAGGACGCUUACGAACGUAGGAAGCUGGAACGAAAACUCAGAGACAAGGAGGCGGCAUAUCAGGAGG